rnacentral:tmRNA from 1 species
GGGGCUGACCGGUUUUGACAGCAUAGUUCUUUGUAAGUGUAAGCAUGUACUGCGUUGCGUAAUUAGCAGUAGAAUCUGAAUACGAAACUUUUAAAUGGCAAUACUUCGUAUGCCAUGGCUGCCUAAUCGAUAGAUUAGCAUCCAUUCGGGCCGCCGGGCAGGUCAGUCCUGUUACCAUGCCCCGCCGCCGACUCAAAAACAAAACGGGAUGCUGCUGUGGAAUGAUGUGACCGCGGCUUAAGAUCAUUCAUCUACGGAAACAGUUGGUUUGUCGUGCUCCUGCUGUUUCCCGACAACUAAUGCACGAAUAAACAUGUAGAAAGCUUACGGCGGAUAUGUUUGGACCAGGGUUCGAUUCCCUGCAGCUCCACCU